rnacentral:snRNA from 1 species
CACACUUCCCAGCCGUUGUCUAAGAUCAAGUGCAUCAUCUUUUCUUAUCGCUUUAAUAUCUGAUACAUCCUUAGCUUGAAGAUUUUAUAUUAAAUGGAUUUGGAGGACAUGGCAAGGAGUAACAGCUUCCUCCAUCCACUCCAUGCAUCAGUGUGAAACUGCAGUGCUUGCAGGUACCAUGGCCACAUC